GGGCGGUGGUCCCACCUGACCCCAUGCCGAACUCAGAAGUGAAACGCCGUAGCGCCGAUGGUAGUGUGGGGUCUCCCCAUGUGAGAGUAGGGA
rnacentral:rRNA from 1 species